GCUCUCGUAGCUUAGCUAAAGCAUAACACUGAAGAUGUUAAGAUGAACCCUAGAAAGUUCCGAGAGCA
rnacentral:tRNA from 2 species